UAAAUUGUUCACCGUAGUUAGUUCAAUUUAGGUAAAG
rnacentral:sRNA from 1 species